rnacentral:rRNA from 1 species
AACGGAGGGUGCAAGCGUUGUUCGGAAUUACUGGGCGUAAAGGGCGCGUAGGCGGUCUGUUAAGUUCGGUGUGAAAGCCCCCGGCUCACCUGGGGAACUGCGCCGGAAACCGACAGACUCGAGUACCGGAGAGGAGGGUGGAAUUCCUGGUGUAGCGGUGAAAUGCGUAGAUAUCAGGAGGAACACCGGUGGCGAAGGCGGAUCUCUGGGCCUUACCUGACGCUGAGGCGCGAAAGCUAGGGGAGCAAACAGG